rnacentral:lncRNA from 1 species
GUUAGUAAGUUUCUGUCUCUGAUAUUGAUUAGAAGCAUGAAUUAGAUUUAGGUUCAUUGUGAAUUUGAUGAACUGAGUGAUGAUUAUUGACUUUUAAGUUAUGGAAAUGAGCUUUAAGACCCUAUGAUGGGCUUAUCUUAACAGGAUGUCUUCCUGAUAUAUGAUCAAUCACUCUGUGCAUUAAUUUCAUAUGAAUUUGAUUCUAAUUUUUGAUUCAAACCAAUUCUCCUUGCUGAUUCUGUGAUUUUUUUCAUAUUUCUUUUGAUUGUAAUAUCUCUGGUAGUUGAUUUGCACAUAUGAUAGUUUGAUUUGGUACUGUUUUAAAUAUGUUCAGUUCAUUUAGUUGUUGAUUUUAGUUUUAAUUUAUAGUACUGACAUGAUUGUUUCUUAUUACUUCUGUUUAGAUUGUACAAUGUAUGUUUCUAUCUCAAUUUUAGGUAGUUAUAGUAAUUAAAUUUUAUUUCUGUUUUAGGCAGUAUAGACUUUUAUUUUCUUUUCUUUUAUUCCAUUUCAUACUUCAUUCUUUCAUUCAAACAAAGUUUAGAUUUUAUCUUUUUUUUUAGUUUCAUUCUUGCAUUCAUUUUAAAUGUCCCCACUUGUUUAGUAGUUUAAUAGU